GUUCUUCAAUAUCUUCAACUAUUUCUACUAUGUUUUCAACUAUCACCAUUGCAUUUCAAUAUUUUCAAGCUUUUUUAUUUCCACCAUUAGCUACUAAUAGAAAUAAUUAUCUAUUAUGGGCAAAAAUGGCAAAAAUAAAUUUAUUUGCAAAAUAACUCUCAGAUGCAAUUCUAUUUGAAAAAUCUCCUACUAUAAGUAAUUCAAUUUUUCUUGCUAUUCUUUGGAAAAUACUUCUUUUCCUUCAUCAUCAUUUUAUACUUGCAUUGCAACAUCAAUAUUUAAAAAUAAAAGAUUUAGCCAAGCUUUGGAAGAAUCUUAAAUCUACCUUUGAUCAUCAAAAGACUAUUUUCCUUCUAUGUGCAUGUCAUAAUUCGACUUAUUUAUGUGUUUUAGAUUUUUUAAAUUUAAAUGCUUUUAACAGUGAAAUGUAUCAUAU
rnacentral:lncRNA from 1 species